UAAUAAGUGUUUUAUGGCACUUUUUAAAUCCUAUAUCCACCUUGUGUGCAAUGUCAGUCGAUCUUCUUCAUGGAGAUCGACCCCAAACUAUCAACCUUUAUCUUGUAUAACUCUUUGUCUGAAAAAUAUUAUGAAUAAACAAUUCAAAAUAC
rnacentral:misc_RNA from 1 species